rnacentral:lncRNA from 1 species
CAACUUCGUCGAAAAAAAAAUUGGUAGAGCCAAUAUCUUGCACAUAAAGUGGGAAAAGUUUAUUUGCAGUCAUCUUAGCUUCGGCAAUCAGCCCAAGUUUGAAUCUAGGAUUCUGCAAAUUCUAUGCUUGAUAGACACUUCAUAGCCGUUCUCUUGAAGUUGACCCACACUAAUAAGAUUUUUCUUUAAAUCCAGUACAAAGAACAGUUCAGAAAUAAU